CUUUCCAAUACUAAAGCACUUGGAAUUUUAUAAAAGUUCAACGUGCUUCCCAAAAAAGUACUUAUGAGCAAAAUUAUAUACACUAAAGCCCAACGGUAAAAAAUACUGUUCAUAAACACAGUGUAAAGAUGAACAUGCCCCCAAUCUUUUUGUUCUUUCACGUUAUCAUUUUUUUACCUUAACAGUGAGAUGACUAAUAUGCCCUUAUUGGAUACGUGCAGGUCAUCUAGUAUUUCAUUCUUCAGCUGUCGUUCUUUCAUUUUGACAGCAAGUACCACCCACCGCUCCACCGCCGUUGCAUUUGCCCUUUCUGUUCCUCCUGCUUGCUCAAUCCAUUACUACUUUGAUUCAUAUUUUGUUCUCUCAACUAAAGAACCGCGGCCUGUUUCUCGAACUCUCUCCCGCAGCGGAACCACCGUCAUCACCAGGUGCCGCAACCCCUCUUUGCCUCUGAGUAUAUUUGUACCAUAGAAAAGUCUGUUAAAUUCACACCGAAGCCGAAGCUACAACCACGAGUCCAUGGGAAAUAGGGAGUCCGAUCGGGGAAUUGCUUCAUCCAAUUCAGGGAAAUUGAAAUCGGCAAAGAAUCACCUUUGGGGGCUAUAACUGCUGGGAAAGAGCUGCAUCAUACUAUAAUCUUUCAAUUUCAAUUUCCCACAUGAAUCUUCUGGUCCCUUGAUUCCUUUCAGUCCUUCUCUCCCCGUCCCUACUCCGCUCUGCUCCGUACGCACGCUCAUCUUUCUUUAUUCUUCCUAUUUCUUCUCCUUAAUUUGUAAUAUUUUUUUUUUGUUUUGAAAUUAGAAUUUUGUUUUGUGUGAUUGAACCAAGAAACUUAACAUGGUUGCAGAAAAAAAAAAAUAAUUUGUUUGUUGUAA